rnacentral:rRNA from 1 species
CGAAGCGUGCGAUUGGAUUGCACGUCUAAGCAGUAAGGCUGAGUAUUAGGCAAAUCCGGUACUCGUUAAGGCUGAGCUGUGAUGGGGAGAAGACAUUGUGUCUUCGAGUCGUUGAUUUCACACUGCCGAGAAAAGCCUCUAGAUAGAAAAUAGGUGCCCGUACCGCAAACCGACACAGGUAGUCAAGAUGAGAAUUCUAAGGUGAGCGAGCGAACUCUCGUUAAGGAACUCGGCAA